rnacentral:rRNA from 1 species
UACGAAGGGUGCAAGCGUUAAUCGGAAUUACUGGGCGUAAAGCGCGCGUAGGUGGUUCAGUAAGUUGGAAGUGAAAUCCCCGGGCUCAACCUGGGAACUGCUUUCAAAACUGCUGAGCUAGAGUACGGUAGAGGGUGGUGGAAUUUCCUGUGUAGCGGUGAAAUGCGUAGAUAUAGGAAAGAACACCAGUGGCGAAGGCGACCACCUGGACUGAUACUGACACUGAGGUGCGAAAGCGUGGGGAGCAAACAGG